CUCGGCACAAUGACUGGGUUUUCUUUGAAUUGUUCAUGAUCGAUGAACCGUUGUAGACGCUUGAGGCGGUAGGCAAUAUUUGCGAUUGGGAUUGCGCUAAGGUUGUCGUUCAUUUCCUUGCGCACUCUGUAGAACUCAGUUUUAAAUUCUUCGCUUAAGUCCUGCCCUGUUUUCUUUGUUGGGUCGUAUGCUUCACAUUGCUGUUUGGUUACGGUGAUACCAAAUUCUUCUUGGACGCCUCUUGCUGUUUCACUAGGUGUCUCAUAGGUAGCAAGUGACCGUACUAUAUAGAGUUUCACCCGUUUAUUAAGCCUUGCCAUUUAUCUCUAUCCGUCCAAGUACGUCCAAGUAGAGUGGCAAAAAAAAUUUAAACCACCUUUAAGUUACAAGUGCCACAAGCGUAAUGAACAUCAGCACGUGUGAGCUGAGGCCUUUUAUUAGCUGCUUCGACCAUUCGUUUAACAUCCUCAGUUGCUCCAUAUCGGCGAACAACACCUGUAAAUUCUUCA
rnacentral:rRNA from 1 species